rnacentral:rRNA from 1 species
GGCUUAGAGUUUGAUCAUGGCUCAGGACGAACGCUGGCGGCGUGCCUAAUACAUGCAAGUCGAACGAAACUUUCUUACACCGAAUGCUUGCAUUCACCGUAAGAAGUUGAGUGGCGGACGGGUGAGUAACACGUGGGUAACCUGCCUAAAAGAAGGGGAUAACACUUGGAAACAGGUGCUAAUACCGUAUAUCUCUAAGGAUCGCAUGAUCCUUAGAUGAAAGAUGGUUCUGCUAUCGCUUUUAGAUGGACCCGCGGCGUAUUAACUAGUUGGUGGGGUAACGGCCUACCAAGGUGAUGAUACGUAGCCGAACUGAGAGGUUGAUCGGCCACAUUGGGACUGAGACACGGCCCAAACUCCUACGGGAGGCAGCAGUAGGGAAUCUUCCACAAUGGACGCAAGUCUGAUGGAGCAACGCCGCGUGAGUGAAGAAGGUCUUCGGAUCGUAAAACUCUGUUGUUAGAGAAGAACACGAGUGAGAGUAACUGUUCAUUCGAUGACGGUAUCUAACCAGCAAGUCACGGCUAACUACGUGCCAGCAGCCGCGGUAAUACGUAGGUGGCAAGCGUUGUCCGGAUUUAUUGGGCGUAAAGGGAACGCAGGCGGUCUUUUAAGUCUGAUGUGAAAGCCUUCGGCUUAACCGGAGUAGUGCAUUGGAAACUGGAAGACUUGAGUGCAGAAGAGGAGAGUGGAACUCCAUGUGUAGCGGUGAAAUGCGUAGAUAUAUGGAAGAACACCAGUGGCGAAAGCGGCUCUCUGGUCUGUAACUGACGCUGAGGUUCGAAAGCGUGGGUAGCAAACAGGAUUAGAUACCCUGGUAGUCCACGCCGUAAACGAUGAAUGCUAGGUGUUGGAGGGUUUCCGCCCUUCA